UUUCUUGUGUUCUGCUUUCUGUUUGUUCCAGGUGAGCGUUAAGGUGAAUUAGGAAUCACAUCCACUUUUGCAGGUAGACGACUAAAAGCCAUACAGGGUUUACCAGGUACCUUAGGAAUGGACACACUAAGCUCCUGCUGCUCUGGUCUCAGACUCCUGUCGAGGUACAGACUCAUAAUUUACCUUUUUUUUUUUUUUUUUCUUUUUUUUUAUUCCUCCAUGUAACAUAAAAUGCGGAAUAUGAAGAAAACUUUUCUUGUAGUUUAACAAAAUCCUGUUUUCCUGUGGCUGGAGGUGCAGUGUAGGGAAUUUCGUAUCUUUCUGGUGCUUUUAGUGGCAUUUUUUCUCAUUUCUCAGUUUAGGAAACUGUUCUCAAUCAGCUGAACAUGAUUGCGCUUAAUGCUUUGAGCCAACCUCUUCCCACCCUAACUUCAUCUCAGGUCUUAAAAGAAACCAAUCCGUGGAGAAGUUCAGGACAACCCCCUGUCCCUCCGCACCGCAGAUCAGGAGCAACUGGAUGAGCUGUUUGGUUUCAUUAAUGAUUCCUGGAUGGCAGAGGCAUCCUUUAAUACCAAAUUUCAGCAGGAAGGAUGGUGGGCUGCAGCACCAGGGCUGCCGUGGGGCGUUGUCAGGGCGUGCAGGAACGGAUGCCGGGGCCGCCAGAGCGAUCCGGAGCGGGUGGAAAUGCCGAGGAUGCGGAUGAGCAGGGGCUGUCCUUGGGUGGAAUUCACUGCUCUGGGUCACCCUUGGGUCCAGGGGGGCCAGUGAGGAGUGUCAGCUGCCCUGGUUUGGCAGGGGCCACCAGCCCCUCCCCGCUCCCCGGGGGACUUUCCACCCUUGGGGAGCCGUUAAUUGGGACGUAAAUAAAGCAGCCAAUUCCCAUCAGCUCCACUAAGCCCCGAUCCUGUUACUGUCCUUUGUUACAGUAAGACAUUUGGAGGAGUAUGAAUAAAGUCAGUCUUCAUAGGCACUUAGGGUACCAUUCAUAUCACCUUAGCAGUAACAAUAGCAGUAUUAGUGUUUAGCUAGAAUUUGCAAAGUAUUUUAAUAUUAAGUAGUCAGGAGAUUAUUCAACACGACGAGAUGGCAAGGCUUGAAUUCUGCCAAUUUCCGCUGCUUCUAUCUUUGAUGCACUAUUUUAAAAGCAAUCUGAUGAACAGCAAAAGGCUUUGUGAGUAACCAGGAGUUGGAGUGUGGCUUUAGAUUCCUUUGAUCUUUUUCAGACUUUGUUUUAAUCUUACGGGAUCAUUGGCUCUUAUCUGUCAUCUUAUUCCGCCUUAGCUGUUGUCGAUGUUCUCUUCAGCUGCAGCUCAUGUUCCAAGUCAGAUUUACCGAGGAAAUUCGAGAAACCAUGAAAUGGUAAAAUAUGCAACUCUGGGGCAUCUCUGUGGUGCCUUUGUUUUAAAUUAUUCAGAGUAAUAAUGGCUCGUUGGAAGUCCAUCCUUUAGCUGACUGUCGUGUUCCGGAGAGAAAGGUGGUGUAAGUGCAAUUCUUUGUGUGAGUAAAUUAGAGUGAAAACUUCUUCCCAGUCUGCAGGAGCAGUUGAAGAGCACUGGACUGCAUGUGUGCUGUUUUGGGAAGGAUUUAGCUUUUUAGGUGUGGAUUCAUAAACGAUAAUUCUGCGACUCAUCCCAUUUAUCUUGCUAGGAGAAAAAAAAAAAAUCCACCAUCGUAGUUCCAGUGUGGUCAGGUACAACCAUUGUAUAGAUAGAGCAAGUGUUCAUUUCUUCACUAACUACAUAUUUAUAGAGUAGAUAGGAACCAUUUGUAAGGUAAGUCCUUUAAAGUUCUAUAAUAUUAAAAGUAGUGGUUAUUGGUCUGAUUAUGCUGCUCUUGAUUCUACAACUAGACAAAAAAAGCAGUGCUUGUGAAAUGCAGUGUUUUCUCUUAAUGCCACUGGUGAUAGGAAGUAGUUCUCUUCAGUUCAAACUCCUGUGCCCUUAUUUGCUGCUUGCUGACGUAAGCAAUAAUCCCUCUCUAACGGUAUCUAAGUGUUCUGUAUCUCGUACUUUGAUUGUCUAUCUGGUGACAGUGUAAAACCUUAGGCUAAUAGAGAAGUAUCUCAUUGUAUUUAUUAACUGUUGAUACUGAGAUUCAGUCUGUGACCUGUGUUUUGUAUUUUUAUCGUGUAUCUUUAGUGGUGGUGAAAUUUGUAUCGCGAAUCUUUCCAAUAAAGAGCUGAAGUAUCCCUUUCCCGCGUUAACACAACCCCAUCCGUUCCGGUUGGCGUGGGCACCGUGGUUGGCAGAACCAGGAGGGAGCAGCGAAAACAUGACUUGAUUUUUUAUUUUAUUUUAUUUUAUUUUUUUCGUUUGUGUUUCAGUUUGUGUCGGUUUUGAGGAAGGGGCUCCAGGCUGGCUCUGCCUGAGGCCGCUCCGACCUCGCUCGUGAGCUCUUCACUGUGAGGACCGGCGGGAUUCUCGCGAUCCCGCCGGUUUCCCGUGUACUUUUCCAUGUGCAACUCUGAGGAAUGUGUGCGGUGCAGAGAGCAGAAUAGCACCAGAGCAGGGAGCUGUUAACCCAUUCGAUUUGCACUAAAGGAACAAAAACUCUCUACCCUUGUAUCAUGUGCAAUAAAUAACGAAGCAUUAACGCGACCUCUGGCUCCGCUGUCCGUGUCCUCCUCCGGCCCUCGCGACUCGGCGACGGCACCUGCCAGCAUUAGAGCUAAAGAGAAACAACCCCACCUGUCAGGGCCUCCUCCAACCCCUGGGCAGGGCCUCCUACACCUCCCGUACGUCGCACUCUCCUCCCGCCCGCUUUUUCCUCUCCUUCCCUCUAGAAGACACCUCUGGACAAGAACAGGGGACGUGGCUGAGCUCAGCCCCAGUGCUGCUGCUCGCGGCCGGCCGGGCGUGGUGUCAGCUCCUGGGUGCUCCUGUUGACCUUUCUGUAGUCCCUUGUUGACGAAACAUGUUCUUUCUGAAGUGAAUAAAUUAAAGCUGAUCACGUACCGGUGUUGGGACUUUUCCAUUUGCAACCUUGUUCUGCAGUUCACCCGCGAGUUUAGUUCUAACCAUGUAUUAGUCAUCCAUAUUUUAUUUAUGAAAGCUGUUUAUACAGGAAAAAACUGUUUUACCAAUAUCUUAAUAAAACAGUAAUUUAAACCACA